CCUCCGCACCCGCCAACGCCUUUUUCUCUCCCUCCUACCCGACGGCGACUUCACCACCACCGAUCGCUCCGUCGCCAAUGCCGUGACGGUCGAUUUUAAGGGAAACGCAUAUGUCACCAAUUCGUUGGGCAACUCUGAAGGAAACUUCAUCUGGAAAGUGAACGCUCAAGGAGAGGCGUCCAUUUUCUCGAGAUCUCCAAUUUUCAAUCAGUACCCCGUGGACCGAAACGCACCGUUUAGCAACAGUGGCCUCAACGGGAUUGCUUACGUCAGCAAGGGGUAUCUACUGGUGGUGCAAUCCAACACAGGGAAAAUGUUCAAGGUGGAUGUGGAGGAUGGCACGGCGAGGACAGUUUUGUUGAACGAGGAUUUGCAUUUGGCAGAUGGGGUCGCAAUCCGAAGAGACGGCGUGGUUUUGGUGGUGACCCCGGUUAAGGAUAGCAAGCUAUGGUUCUUGAAAAGCGAUGAUAGUUGGGGAGAGGGAGUGGUUUAUGACAAAAUUGACCUUGAUGCAGAGAGGUUCCCAACAUCAGUUGCAGUGGGGAGAGAGGAUAGGGCAUACGUGGUGUAUGGGAGAGUGAUGGAGGGUAUAAUGGGAAAGGGAGGGAGUGAAUGGUUUGAUAUAGAGGAAGUGAAGUCAGUAAGGGAGAGUAAGGAGGAGAAUGUUUGGGUUUUCGUCUUGCUUGGAUUCGGUUUGGCUUAUUUCUUCUUCUGGAGAUUUCAGAUGAAGCAGCUAGUGAAAAAUGUGGAUAAGAAAACCAAUUAAAU
rnacentral:misc_RNA from 1 species